GAUGAACGCUGGCGGCGUGCCUAAUACAUGCAAGUCGAGCGAACGGACGAGAAGCUUGCUUUUCUGAUGUUAGCGGCGGACGGGUGAGUAACACGUGGAUAACCUACCUAUAAGACUGGGAUAACUUCGGGAAACCGGAGCUAAUACCGGAUAAUAUUUUGAACCGCAUGGUUCAAAAGUGAAAGACGGUCUUGCUGUCACUUAUAGAUGGUUCCGCGCUGCAUUAGCUAGUUGGUAAGGUAACGGCUUACCAAGGCAGCGAUGCAUAGCCGACCGGCGAGAGUGAUCGGCCACACGGGAACGGAGACACGGUCCAGACUACUACGAGAGGCAGCAGUAGGGAAUGGUCCGCAAUGGGCGAGAGCCUGACGGAGCAGCGCCGCGUGUGUGAUGAAGGUCUUCGGAUCGGAAAACUCUGUUAUUAGGGAAGAACGUAUGUGUAAGUAACUGUGCACAGCUUGACGGUACCUAAUCAGAAAGCCACGGCUAACUACGUG
rnacentral:rRNA from 1 species